UACGUAGGGUGCAAGCGUUAAUCGGAAUUACUGGGCGUAAAGCGUGCGCAGGCGGUUUUGUAAGUCUGACGUGAAAUCCCCGGGCUCAACCUGGGAAUUGCGUUGGAGACUGCAAGGCUAGAAUCUGGCAGAGGGGGGUAGGAUUCCACGUGUAGCAGUGAAAUGCGUAGAGAUGUGGAGGAACACCGAUGGCGAAGGCAGCCCCCUGGGUCAAGAUUGACGCUCAUGCACGAAAGCGUGGGGAGCAAACAGG
rnacentral:rRNA from 1 species